GAGAGCAGAGAAGGAAAAUAG
rnacentral:rRNA from 1 species